rnacentral:rRNA from 1 species
UACGGGGGGGGGCAAGCGUUGUUCGGAAUUACUGGGCGUAAAGGGCGUGUAGGCGGCCAACUAAGUCCGACGUGAAAUCCCCAGGCUUAACCUGGGAACUGCGUCGGAUACUGGAUGGCUUGAAUUCGGGAGAGGGAUGCAGAAUUCCAGGUGUAGCGGUGAAAUGCGUAGAUAUCUGGAGGAAUACCGGUGGCGAAGGCGGCAUCCUGGACCGAGAUUGACGCUGAGCGGCGAAAGCUAGGGGAGCAAACGGG